CGUCAAGUCCUCAUGGCCCUUAUAGGUGGGGCUACACACGUCAUACAAUGGCUGGUACAAAGGGUAGCCAACCCGCGAGGGGGAGCCAAUCCCGUAAAACCAGUCGUAGUCCGGAUCGCAGUCUGCAACUCGACUCCAUGAAGCCGGAAUCGCUAGUAAUCGCGCAUCAGAAUGGCGCGGUGAAUACGUUCCCGGGCCUU
rnacentral:rRNA from 1 species